rnacentral:rRNA from 1 species
GGCCGCGAGGAUUCGAUUGAGUUUGAUCCUGGCUCAGGAUGAACGCUGGCGGCGUGCCUAACACAUGCAAGUCGAACGGGGUAUAUAAGCGGAAGUUUACGGAUGGAAGGUUAUAUACUUAGUGGCGGACGGGUGAGUAACGCGUGGGCAACCUGCCCCGUGCCGGGGGAUACCGCCUGGAAACAGGCGCUAAUACCGCAUAAGCGCAUACAGCCGCAUGGGUGUAUGCGGAAAGCUCCGGCGGCACGGGAUGGGCCCGCGCCCGAUUAGCCAGUUGGCGGGGUAACGGCCCACCAAAGCGACGAUCGGUAGCCGGCCUGAGAGGGCGGACGGCCACAUUGGGACUGAGACACGGCCCAAACUCCUACGGGAGGCAGCAGUGGGGAAUAUUGCACAAUGGGGGAAACCCUGAUGCAGCAACGCCGCGUGGGUGAAGGAGCGUUUCGGCGCGUAAAGCCCUGUCAGCGGGGAAGAAGAAAGACGGUACCCGACCAAGAAGCCCCGGCUAACUACGUGCCAGCAGCCGCGGUAAUACGUANGGGGCGAGCGUUAUCCGGAAUUACUGGGUGUAAAGGGAGCGUAGACGGCGAAGUAAGCCUGAAGUGGAAGCCCGCGGCCCCAACCGCGAACUGCUUUGGGAACUGUUUUGCUGGAGUAUGGGAAGGGUAAAGCGGAUUUCCUGGUGUAACGGUGAAAUGCGUAAAAAUCAGGAGGAACCCCGGUGGAAAAGGCGGCUACUGGACAUAAACUGAGUUGAGGCCCCAAACCGGGGGGAACGAAAAGAUUAAAUACCCCUGUAUCCCACCCCUAAACGAA